GGCUUAGUGGUCUAGUCGUAUGAUUGUCGCUUCGGGACGGGAAACUCCCUCCAGGAUUCAUUGAAUCUGAACUGUGACAGGCCCCGGGUUCAAAUCCCGGCUAAGCCC